GGCAACCCCGUUGCUGUGGGGCCGGGGCGCAGCCGUGCUGGGGGCCGCUUUGUGGGCUGCAGCCCCCUGUCCCCCCCCCCACCUCCUGUGCCAAAGGUCUCGCCGGCAUCCCGCCUCCUUGCUGCGCGGGUGCUGGCCCUAGGGCCCGGCGAAGCAGCGGGAUCGCUCCAGGCUGGGAGAAAGGGGAACAGGAGAGAAGUUUAAAUAAGAGUUUUUAAUUUGGAACAGCCUUGGUCUCAGGGGUUGUCAUUCACCUCCCUCUGCACCUGUGCAGAGUGGGUUCACCACCUGCCCAUCCUAAGGAGUUCUCUCCCCCCCCUCCACCCCAUUUAAGGGCUUGGGGCUCCCCCAGCCCUCAUCCAGCUCCUGGAUGAGCCCUGCUGCCUGGAGCUCUGUGGGGCUGGGGGGGGUUGCAUUGACCCUUUCACUCUGUUAAUUUGGGAGUUGCCCCGAGGGCAGGGGGAUGGAUGGGAGCACCCCCAGAUCCUACUGGAGGCCGGGAGGGGGAGGGGCUCGGAGUCCGUGCCUGGUGCCCGGUGGGGAUGGGGGGUGGAUACAGCACGGAGCCCCGGUGCCGGGGGGGUCGGGGCGGGGCGGGGCGGGGCGAGGUUAUGUAAGGCGGCGAUUAACGGGGCCGGGCCGGGCGGCGGCGCGAUGGGAGCAGCCAGCAGCGGGUCCGGCCCGGGGCCCCCCCAGAGCCGCUCCGUGGGGUCGUGGGUGCGGGCGCUGCUCCGCCGGAGCGGGUCGGUCCAGGGGCCGGUGCCGGUGCCGGGUCUCGCUGUGGCCACCGAGGAGCCGCCGCCGUUCCCGGGGUGGCCGCUGCCGCAGCUCGUCUCGCUCUUCCUGCCGGAGUUCCCCGUGCGUCCCUCCGCCCGGCAGCAGCAGCUCAAGAUCCUGGGCUUGGUGGCCAAAGGCUCCUUCGGUACCAUCCUAAAAGUGUUGGACUGCGGGCGGGAGAAGGUCUGCGCCGUGAAGGUCGUACCC
rnacentral:lncRNA from 1 species